UACGUAGGGUGCGAGCGUUGUCCGGAAUUAUUGGGCGUAAAGAGCUUGUAGGCGGUUUGUCGCGUCUGCCGUGAAAACUCGAGGCUCAACCUCGAGACGUCGGCGGAAACCAUCUGGCUAGAGUCCGGAAGAGGAGAGUGGAAUUCCUGGUGUAGCGGUGAAAUGCGUAGAUAUCUGGAAGAACACCAAUGGCGAAGGCAAUGUUCUGGCUCGUUUCUGACGCUCAGGUGCGAAAGCCAGGGGAGCGAACGGG
rnacentral:rRNA from 1 species